CGGACGGGUGAGUAAUGCCUAGGAAUCUGCCUGGUAGUGGGGGACAACGUUUCGAAAGGAACGCUAAUACCGCAUACGUCCUACGGGAGAAAGCAGGGGACCUUCGGGCCUUGCGCUAUCAGAUGAGCCUAGGUCGGAUUAGCUAGUUGGUGAGGUAAUGGCUCACCAAGGCGACGAUCCGUAACUGGUCUGAGAGGAUGAUCAGUCACACUGGAACUGAGACACGGUCCAGACUCUUACGGGAGGCAGCAGCC
rnacentral:rRNA from 1 species